rnacentral:rRNA from 1 species
UACGGGGGGUGCUAGCGUUGUCCGGAAUGAUUGGGCGUAAAGGGUGCGUAGGCGGACUGUUAAGUCAGCGGUAAAAGCCCGGGGCUCAACCCCGGCGAGCCGUUGAAACUGGCUGUCUUGAGAUGUCGAGAGGUAUGCGGAAUGCGCAGUGUAGCGGUGAAAUGCAUAGAUAUCGCGCAGAACCCCGAUUGCGAAGGCAGCCUGCCGGCCCCACACUGACGCUGAGGCACGAAAGCGUGGGUAUCGAACAGG